rnacentral:tRNA from 1 species
CGCGGGGUGGAGCAGUUGGUAGCUCGUCGGGCUCAUAACCCGAAGGUCGUCAGUUCGAGUCUGGCCCCCGCAACUA